rnacentral:tRNA from 1 species
UCACCCAAAGCUGGAGUUCUACAUAAACUAUUCCUUG